GCGGAAGCUAUCGUGCAAGGUGCCGCAACGCAGAUUUGCUGCCGCGGUUAAACGGGAAACAGGUGCGUGUAGGUGAAACGCCAUGCCUGUGCUGUCCCCGCAACGGUAAGCGAGUGUGGGUGUGUCGAUAGGCCACUGGGUGAAAUCCUGGGAAGGCGACAUGUCAAGACUCGUGAGCCCGGAUACCGGCCUUCGCACACGUGAACGGA
rnacentral:ncRNA from 18 species